UGGGGAAUAUUGCACAAUGGGCGCAAGCCUGAUGCAGCGACGCCGCGUGAGGGAUGACGGCCUUCGGGUUGUAAACCUCUUUCAGCAGGGAAGAAGCGGAAGUGACGGUACCUGCAGAAGAAGCGCCGGCUAACUACGUGCCAGCAGCCGCGGUAAUACGUAGGGCGCAAGCGUUGUCCGGAAUUAUUGGGCGUAAAGAGCUCGUAGGCGGUUUGUCGCGUCUGCUGUGAAAGCCCGGGGCUCAACCCCGGGUCUGCAGUGGGUACGGGCAGACUGGAGUGCAGUAGGGGAGACUGGAAUUCCUGGUGUAGCGGUGAAAUGCGCAGAUAUCAGGAGGAACACCGAUGGCGAAGGCAGGUCUCUGGGCUGUAACUGACGCGGAGGAGCGAAAGCAUGGGGAGCGAACAGG
rnacentral:rRNA from 1 species